rnacentral:rRNA from 1 species
CUGGAGGUAUCAGAAGUGCGAAUGCUGACAUAAGUAACGAUAAAGCGGGUGAAAAGCCCGCUCGCCGGAAGACCAAGGGUUCCUGUCCAACGUUAAUCGGGGCAGGGUGAGUCGACCCCUAAGGCGAGGCCGAAAGGCGUAGUCGAUGGGAAACAGGUUAAUAUUCCUGUACUUGGUGUUACUGCGAAGGGGGGACGGAGAAGGCUAUGUUGGCCGGGCGACGGUUGUCCCGGUUUAAGCGUGUAGGCUGGUUUUCCAGGCAAAUCCGGAAAAUCAAGGCUGAGGCGUGAUGACGAGGCACUACGGUGCUGAAGCAACAAAUGCCCUGCUUCCAGGAAAAGCCUCUAAGCAUCAGGUAACAUCAAAUCGUACCCCAAACCGACACAGGUGGUCAGGUAGAGAAUACCAAGGCGCUUGAGAGAACUCGGGUGAAGGAACUAGGCAAAAUGGUGCCGUAACUUCGGGAGAAGGCACGCUGAUAUGUAGGUGAAGUCCCUCGCGGAUGGAGCUGAAAUCAGUCGAAGAUACCAGCUGGCUGCAACUGUUUAUUAAAAACACAGCACUGUGCAAACACGAAAGUGGACGUAUACGGUGUGACGCCUGCCCGGUGCCGGAAGGUUAAUUGAUGGGGUCAGCGCAAGCGAAGCUCUUGAUCGAAGCCCCGGUAAACGGCGGCCGUAACUAUAACGGUCCUAAGGUAGCGAAAUUCCUUGUCGGGUAAGUUCCGACCUGCACGAAUGGCGUAAUGAUGGCCAGGCUGUCUCCACCCGAGACUCAGUGAAAUUGAACUCGCUGUGAAGAUGCAGUGUACCCGCGGCAAGACGGAAAGACCCCGUGAACCUUUACUAUAGCUUGACACUGAACAUUGAGCCUUGAUGUGUAGGAUAGGUGGGAGGCUUUGAAGUGUGGACGCCAGUCUGCAUGGAGCCGGCCUUGAAAUACCACCCUUUAAUGUUUGAUGUUCUAACGUUGACCCGUGAUCCGGGUUGCGGACAGUGUCUGGUGGGUAGUUUGACUGGGGCGGUCUCCUCCUAAAGAGUAACGGAGGAGCACGAAGGUUGGCUAAUCCUGGUCGGACAUCAGGAGGUUAGUGCAAUGGCAUAAGCCAGCUUGACUGCGAGCGUGACGGCGCGAGCAGGUGCGAAAGCAGGUCAUAGUGAUCCGGUGGUUCUGAAUGGAAGGGCCAUCGCUCAACGGAUAAAAGGUACUCCGGGGAUAACAGGCUGAUACCGCCCAAGAGUUCAUAUCGACGGCGGUGUUUGGCACCUCGAUGUCGGCUCAUCACAUCCUGGGGCUGAAGUAGGUCCCAAGGGUAUGGCUGUUCGCCAUUUAAAGUGGUACGCGAGCUGGGUUUAGAACGUCGUGAGACAGUUCGGUCCCUAUCUGCCGUGGGCGCUGGAGAACUGAGGGGGGCUGCUCCUAGUACGAGAGGACCGGAGUGGACGCAUCACUGGUGUUCGGGUUGUCAUGCCAAUGGCACUGCCCGGUAGCUAAAUGCGGAAGAGAUAAGUGCUGAAAGCAUCUAAGCACGAAACUUGCCCCG